rnacentral:siRNA from 1 species
CACUCAUAUGGAGAGUGUUGGCCA